AGAGCUUUCAAAUCCCAACUUGCCCCUGGGGAUUGCGCGGCUGAUGUUUAGAACGCCUAGUCAAGCCAACCGGCUCGCUCUUGUUUCAGCAAACCCUGACUUACGUCUCCUAUUUGACUUGAGGCGGCACAGUGGCCAAGUCGAUUGGCCGUGGCAAGUGACCCUCCCUGUGGCUGAAGUGUUCUGAGGACUGGCGAGAGAGGCGCGCCAUGCUUGCCCCCUGCUCAGGUUGGGAGCUUGGCUGCUUCCGUCUCUGUCUCCGUCAGGUCCGACUGUGGGCUGGCGCUGGGCGCUGGGCUUGCUGGGCUUGCCAAGCCAGGCCGUACAGCUCAGGUGGGAGCGAGCGCUGGCCCGGAUCGGAGACUGAGGUCCCUCCGCCUGGCCCGGGGCGCCGAACUCUGAAGGAGUGGACACUGCAGGUGAGCCCGUUUGGUCGGCUGCGGGCGCGGCUCCCGUGCCACCUGGCCGUGAGGCCCCUGGACCCCCUCACCUACCCGGAUGGCGACCGCGUGCUGGUCGCGGUGUGCGGCGUGGAGGGCGGCGUGCGGGGCCUGGACGGCCUGCAGGUGAAGUACGACGAGGAUCUGGAGGAGAUGGCCAUUGUGUCUGAUACUAUCCACCCCCAGGCGUCCGUGGAGGUUUAGAUAUCAAGUCAUCAGGGUCUGGCUGUGUAAAAGUUCAAAGUAUUGAGGGUGAUAAUUGCAAAAUUGAAACAGAGCAUGGGACUAGUAUCUUGCAGUCUGUUAAGGGUCAAAAAUUGCAUGUUCAAACAAAAGGAGGCAAAGUGAUCUGUCUGGGAACAGUUUAUGGAAAUAUAGAUAUUCAUGCAUCAGAUAAAAGUGCUGUGACCAUAGAUAAACUGCAGGGAAGUUCUGUUACUGUAUCUACCGAAGAUGGUUUGCUGAAAGCCAAGUAUCUUUAUACAGAAUCAUCAUUUCUGUCUUCUGCUGCUGGGGAUAUUACAUUAGGAAGUGUUCAUGGUAAUAUAACAUUACAAAGCAAGAUGGGUAACAUCACAGUAGAUUCGUCUUCUGGAUGUCUAAAAGCCUCAACUAAUCAGGGUGCCAUAGAUGUUUAUGUCAGCCAACUGGGGAAAGUGGAAUUGAAAUCCCAUAAAGGUUCUAUUAUUGUCAAGGUCCCAUCUUCACUUCAAGCUCAUUUACAGUUAUCAGGGAAAGAGGUUGAUGUGAACUCAGAAGUCCAUGUUCAGGAAAUGGCUGAAGUUCGUAAAGAUGAUGUUGUAACAGUGACUGGACUCAUGAAUCAAGCAAGCAAACGUGAAAAAUGGAUUAAGGCUGAUGCCCCAAAAGGCACUAAAAGAACUAACGUUGGAGAAAGUAAUUAAAGCCAGAUCCUAAAAGUCAAUACAUCUGAGGCUCCAGACACUGACUCUGCGUGUGCUGUGGUUUCCACUAAACACUAAAAUGAGGUAAUUUUUUAUUCUUAUUAUGUUCACAACUCUUGCAAAACCUAACCAGGGUAAAAAAUUUAUUCAUUUUUCUCAUUAAGCGAAUUAUGUAGUGUGUAAGUUUUCAAUGUCUUGUGCUAAAAACAGAAUCUCUCCUAUAGUUACCUUAUCUAAGUAACGAGAGAGCAUUCUUUAUAAAGUGCAGAUAAUCUAAACAUCUCAAUUUACUCACUUUAUUUUAUUCUCUUUCCUUCUCUUUUUAAAUCCAGGUAAGGAAUUGUGAAAUUAGUUUGUAAGUCACUUUCUCCUCCCCCGGCUUUGUCUGUUCCCUUUUGGGACUUAAUAAUUGGGCUGGAGGAGGCAAGGGGAAAGAUUACCACAUGCCCAGAAGUAUGAAUCUUGGAAGAGGUAAAACUGGUUAAAAGCCACAACACAGACACACACGUACCAAAAGCAGGGAGGAGAAAAAGAAGGAUGAGAAAUGAUGAAAAAGAAAAAUUUCAGGGUUGAGGGUGAGGGGAGGGAACUCAGAGUACAGGUCAAUAGGUGCAGCAAACCACCAUGACACACGCAUACCUAUGAAACAAACCUGCAUGUUCUGCACAUGUAUCCUGUUUUGUUUUGUUUUUUUAGAAAAAAAAAAGAAAAAUUUAUUGUUCAUGAAUUUGAGUAGAACAACUAAUCUUUUAGAUUACUGAAAAUAAAUACAUGUCAGUUUGUAAAAGAUUAAAUUGUUUUAAAGAUAUGCCAGAACUCAGCUGUAUGGUCAUAUAGUUACCAAAUGGGUAAAUGCUUUCAUCUACAAUCUCAGAGCACCUAAAAAUAGUACAAUUUUUAGGCUCCAAAGAGUGAAAAGAAAAAUGUCUGGACCCCACAGAAUCAAAAAAGAAUGACAGAAAACACUGGUCUCCUGAUACUUAACAUCAAACUUUGGCCAAUACUCCUUCAUCCCAAGGAUGAGAGGAGCAUCUAAAAAUUAAUCAAUAAUGUACAUUAAGAGGCUAUGUCAUCACCAUGGUAGGUUUCAAUACUUCUAAAUGAUUUCUAGUUAUUGUUCAAAUAUAACUGAUCACCAUAUGAGAAAUAUAACCCAGUAUUAAAAAUGUUAAUAUUUUAAACUGUUUUGUCUAGUCUAUCACCUUGUCAAAGAUCUUUUGAAAGCCUGACUAUAUCAUAUUCAUAGAUAAAACUUUGUAUAAAUGCAUGUUUAACCCUUAAGUUAAUUGCAGCAGGUAAAUCAUGGCUUAACUUUAGAGGAAUCUUUCAACUUUUUGUCUUAGUAGGUUACAUACAUCUAAAUGAUUUGUAACCCUUUUUGUUAUUAAAGAGUUACAAUAUUUCCAA